rnacentral:rRNA from 1 species
GGGAGCGUGGGACGAGUCGUCGGUUACACGGUUAGGGGGUUGGCGUUGGUCGGACGAGUUGGGGGGAAAGGGCGGGUAGCGGGCCCGGGAAGGGCGCUGUGAAAGUCGGGGGCUCAAACCUCGAAGGCCGGUGGAUACUGUCGGGCGAGAGUGCGGAAGAGGCGAGUGGAGUUACUUGGGUGGCGAUGAAAUGCGCAGAUAUCAGUAGGAACACCGAUUGCGAAGGCAGCUCGCUGGGACGUAACUGACGCUGAGACGCGAAAGCGUGGGGAGCAAACAGGAUUAGAUACCCCUGUAGUC